rnacentral:lncRNA from 1 species
CAACCUCCAUCACCAAGAACCACCUUUUUCCCUCUUUUUCUUCUUGAGCUCGCCAUGUCCCGUCAUUAUGGCCAUCGGAAAAUGAGGUCGGAGAUGCUGCCGGAGCCAAGGUAAGUCUGACCUUCUUCUCCUUUAGUUCAUCUUCUUUCCCUGGCCCUAACGACCCCUCGCCGGCCUUGAUUUCUCUAGAAAUAAAUCGGAAAGAAGAAUGCCUUGUUUUAGUCGAAUUUCUUUCCCAUUUUUCGGCCAUCAGCGUAGCUGUCCCUGAACACCGAACCCUUGGCUGAGCUCCUUGGCUCCUGUAGCUUACUCCACGAUGGAAUUAUGGCUUCCGGUGAUUGGCCAACGACCAAAAACAAAAAGAAGCCUGAUUGCCCUGUUUUUUUGAUUCUUUUUCCUUUGAUUUCUUGCUGGUCGGUCAUGGCCACCGACCGUCCACCAUUGCCCACUACCGGCUAUGAUGUGCUGCCGCACCCAAUCGGACCACUGACCACCACUCCUUCCUCUGUUCUGCCAAGGAAGAAGAAAAAAAACAGAGAGAGAAAGAAGACCCAUCCCUCUCUUUGGUGUUUCUAUCUUUUCUCCCACUCUCUCUUUUUAAGACCAGUUCAAAGCCUUGUUCCGUUAGCUAUAGACCUAAGUUGGCGCAAAGAGGCUCAAGAUUGCCAUAGUACUCGAGCAAUCUGUCAGGCUACUCACCCCGACGAUGAGUGUCUUUGAAAUUUAUUAUUUAUGAAUCUAUUGGUUAAUCUUGAUCUUGAUCCAGUGUUUCACGAUUCUUUGAUCAAAUUACUUAGAUCUGACCCAUUAACAAUCUCCUCUUUUUAUUAUUUAAUUCCAUCAAAUUCAUCAAUAAAAAUUAAUUAUAUUUUUAAUAUUUUAAAUAAGAUUAGCAGAUUUGUUUAGCAAAAUUUAAAAUCUAAGAUGAACGAGAUAAAUAGACCACUCGUUAUAAAUUUUUAAUUAUCAUAUUUUUUAUGCAUAUGUUAUUGAGAAAAUUAUAUUUUUUUUAAAUAAAAGACUAGCAAAUAUGAUGUGAAAAUCAUGCUUUAUAAUGAAAGAUAAUUUUAUAAAUAUUUUAAAUAAAAAAUAGUAUGUUUAUGAAGCAUAAAUUUUAUCAUGUUAUUUAGUACUUUUCUAUCUUUUUAUAUGUAUGUUUUAAAAAAAAAAUAUAAAUACUUUCGAAAGUUCUUGAAUAGCUAUAUAUAACGCCUCAAAUUGGGAAAGAUCAAUAUCCGAAGCUAGUAUCUAUAUGAACACCGAUCCUAUCAAUGAGUAUAAAAUUGAUAUACGAAAUAAAAACUCUAUCAAUUAGAACAUGAGCUCUGUCACGAAUAUAAAAUAAUCGUAGCACAAAAUAUCCGAGAGUAGCAUUUUGAAUUAUAAUAUGGCUAAAUGGCAAAGAAUGAUUUGUGAUUUUGUAUGUACAAUGAAAUCAUAUUUAUGAAUUAUUAAUAGUUGGAGCAUGCAUGAUAUGUUUUAUGACUUAUUUUACCAUACAGUGCUAUGAAAUGCUCUAUUUUUGUAAUACUUGUUAUUUUCUUUAAUUGAUGCAUUGUUAAUGAAAAAUACUUAUGCUUGAUCUGGUUAAAGGUGUAAGUUUUAUUUACUGAGCUGUUCAGCUUAUAUCUGUUAGGAUUUGAUACUUCGAGAUUUGGUCCACAUUGAGCCCACAGCGAGGUCCACGACGACGAACGAAAUCCAACGAGCCUAAGAUCACCUCAAACGGAGUCCAGAUGAUCGAGAUAUGCUUGAUUGAAGUAGGUACGAAAUUCGAAAUGAUGGAGGAUCGCCGGCGGGCCGGUGGAGCAGUGGUGGUGCGGCCGCGCGCGGCCCAGCGCG